AAACUGGUAAUCUGUAUGAGACAUCACCAGAGUUUCAGGGGAUGUAUUCAAAUGAAAUGCUUAUUAUUUGCAGGUUUCUUUCUAGCUUAGAAGACACUAAGCUCCUUUUUGCAAUGUGUUACAUUGGUGACAGGGUAGUUCCCCGGACUAAUGAGGAGAUAUAAAAUCACAGUGAACCCAGUGACCAUUUCAAAUUUAACCCAAGUCAGUGGAUUGCUUCAGGAGGGCCCCUCAGACUCCAGCACCAAAUACAGCUCCUGCUUAAAUGGUCUGUGCAUCUAUGGGUAGAGCUGUUAUUCUGCCUCCCAAGUACCUGUUCAGGAAGAGAGCUUAAAACAUAUAGUUUCAUGUUAAAAAAUGUUCAGUCCUUUGCUUCCAGCAACAGCUGAUGCAGUAGGAAAGAGCUGCUCACCCUUCAUCUACAGACCAGUCUGGCCGCACAGCUUCCUAGGUAAGGACAGGCCAGCACACUUACACUGGUGCCAGGAAUACUGCUACUGAUUGUGCUCACUGAACCAUGUUAUAUCAGCUGCAGCAUGUCAGAGGAGCAUGUCCAAGAGUAGCUACAGCUAACAAGGCUCUAUUUGAGAGAAAAAAUGAGACCAGAGUGAGACUUAUGACAAUUUCAAGUAUAGAAUAAACAGUAUGAACAGACAAGCACGAGAGAAUGGUAAGGUGCUCUUUACAUACGAAUAUCUUCAAUGUCACACACACACAAAAAAAAUAAAAAAAAAGAAAAAAAAAGGAGAAAGAAAAAAAUCAGAAAAUGAGAGAAUGAACUAUAACAAACACUUUUUCUAAGUAGAGUCUCUGCAUUUCCCAUGGGAUUCAGUUGAAUGGGGAUAAAAAAAAAAAGGGAGAGCAAAAACUGCUUGCAACACAGAACAAACCUUGAGUGCCAAGAGUAUGCUCCAGAUUUGUUUAAAGGUGCCUGACUCUUAUCUCAGCCCUGGUUCAUCACAGUUUACUCCUAGAAUUAUUCAGAAUUCAAGGACCUUGCUCCUAUGGGGUUAAUGGGUUACAUUCAACACUGAAAAACGUGACACAAAUAGCUGCUUAAUUAUUCAGUCCAGACUGAUUUUAGUGGUUAAUGGAAAUAAAAAUAGCAACAGCAACAUUGUUUUACGUUUCACAGGUGAAAUGAUUUUUUCUUUUCACUGCAUAAUCCAGGACCAUGCACAGGAGGAGGGGGCCAAUAUAAAGGAGGGGUUGUGCUGCUUGUGACACAAAAGAUUAGCAUACCCAUGACUGAAGAGGAGGAAAAGGAAAACACUGCCAUAAAAGUGACAGUAGAGGUGAAGAAUUGUGGUGAAUGUGUAAUGCACCACUGAAAAAAUGCAGGAGAAAACAUACCGAAAGUCUUAUCAUAUCUAUCCUGCUAUUCCAAAGCAGGAAUUAAUUUGAAGGGAAGAAGCUGCUGUUCUCGUUGGCUCACAUCACUUGUUCAUAAACACAGGCAAGAAAAAUGCUGAAGUGAUACGAUUACCAUAAUUACUAUCUUUGUUCAAAAAAAUGCAGUUGUGGUUUUCCACCCUGAAUUUUGUUCAAGCAGCCAUUGUGGCUAGUACCCAUCAGGAGCUAACAGCACAUACUGCAGCUACUCUAGGAGCAAACACAGUAAAUCUCGUG